AGUCUUUCUGUAACUGAUUCCAUACAUGAAGUGCAGAACAACUAAAAGCCUUUUGACCCAUUUCUGUACGGGCAAAUGGAACAGACAGCAGAAUGCACUCAUUUACAUACAUGUGCGGACAGUG